AUCCCUAUCAGCAAACAUCAUUUGAUGCAAUCUUCUCUCUGUAUGUGUGACUGCCAUUGAGACUGAUGUUUUGGCACUCCUAAUGUCAUUAUCCCCCUUCAGAACAUUCCUUAAGCGAGCCUCAAUUCUAUCAAUUUGUUGUGUGUCCUCGAUUGGGGACCCUGAAUUGCAGUCCUUUACAUGAAUUAAUGAAGCAAUUCGGCCAUUGUGAGUCCAAACUUUAGCCUCUACCACAUCACAUUGCAGGUCAGCUAACACUGCAAAGACCUCCGAAAGAAGGCCGAUCCUGUCUGUGCCCGUUAGUUCUAAUGCUGUUAAGCCGCUAAAAUCAUGGGUUCUGCCAUAAUGAAUGGUACCAAGUGACUGCUCAAUGUAGUCAAUAACGCUCGCGUCUGUCAGUUUAUUUCCGUUCAGAUCAGUCACAUGAAAAACAUCCAUGAACCACCUUCCAUCGGAAGAAAUAUAAGCUUUUUUAAUUGAAAGGUUCAGAUCCGUGAGAACCUGAACAGCAUGAAGCAACAUUCCAUGUUUCCUGGCACUGUCAACCUUGACAAGAGUCGCAGUGGGGCAAACGGCAUUGUCGAUGACGACCCUGGGAGUGGUCAUCCUAUAAACAAGUUUUUCAUACUCAUCCAAACAAGCACUCCACUCCAUUUCUAUAAAGCUUCUCUUCCUUUCUUUGCUUCAAUUUUCAACCCCAGAAAACAGAAAACCACCUUAAGCGCUAAAACUACAAGGUCUUCCUUUCUUAAUCCUGCUAGAGUUUCUCUUUUUAACAGCCUACAAAGCCAAAGGACGAGAAAUUCAAAGACCCAGCAAGGCCAAUCACCGAGAAAAGCCACGAAAAAUAACAAUCCCUUUUGAGCUGUUGUCAAACAAAGCCAAAUGCCAGAUUUUCUCAAAACUCUUAACUUCUAUACCCCCUUCGUCCAAAUCGCCAUUAACAACCCCAAACAAACUCAACUUCCUUUCUUCCCCUUCUUUUGUUUUCUUUCCCCCCUCUCACUCUCUCCCGCGAAAGUUACGAUUUGCUCCCACUUAACUCUCUCAAGCGCAAAGCACGCCUUAUUCUUGAGAGAUGACUCUUCUUGCCUAUGUACCUCUCCCCCUAUAUAUUUUCAAUAUUUUU
rnacentral:misc_RNA from 1 species